GUUUUUAUAAAUUGUGUUGGGUUUGGGGUUCUGACCUUAUAAGUCAUGUGAAUUUGUGUGGGUCUUUGGUAUUUUCUUUUUGUUAUCCAAUAGAUUUUUGCUGAAAUGAUGUAAGACAGAUAGUUGGAAAACAAAAGAGAAGCCUAAUUGGUUUCUGUUGAUGCAAGAGAUGUUGCCUUGUUGGGUCUGAAUUUUUGUUUGCAGAAAGGACUUGUCGUAAGGACAUCACAAAUCAGGGGUCAUUGGAUCUUACACAUCAUUAGAGAAGGUUUGCGGACGAGUUUAUCAGUACUUAGUUGAAGUGAUCAAGUUGGAAGAGUUGCAAGUUUGACUAGGAGUUUAACAAAGAAGUUGCUACUGAAGUAAUCUAGCUAUUUGCAAGUUUUAAUUUUCAAAAGUUGAAGUUGUCACCAGAGCUUAAGCAGAAGUUGAAGUCGUCACCGGAGCUUAACCAGAACUUGAAGUCAUUUAGUAGAAAUGCUCAAGUCAUGAUAACGAGGCCAUCAUAUAAAGAAAUCCUAUAUUCCUUCUUGUGAAAUAUUCCUUUACUUGUUCCAGUGUGUAAGUCUUUGGAUUGGUGGUUUAAUGAACUUCGUUGGAGUUAUUUUGCUAUGUAUUGCUGUUUGGUAUGCAUUCCUUUGUGGCAGUUGAUGGAAAUAUCAAAUAUGUAGUUUGCAGCUAUGAAAAAAAAAAAAAAUUGAUCAACAGUAUUUUUUAAAAAUAUAUUUGUUUAUGAAGACACGAACAGAAAGCAAAUGUGGCUUGUACUAAUAAAAUAAAAGAAGCCGACCACUUGCAUCAGUUGUGGGACCCAUCAUGUCACGUUUGAAGAGUCUGUGUCUGUUUCGGCAAUAGAUACGGCUCUACAGGGCACGGACCGUAAAGAAAGUGGCUGCACCGUUACUGUACUCUAUAGACACGCAUAACCGUGGCCUUUGACCCUCACACCCACGAAUCAUGAACGUGCCUGUUGCUAAGAAUUGUAGUAGUGUGAUGGGGUCAAACUCAUAGUGUUGUGGUUAAAAGACUGAGAAUUUUGCCUUCAAUUCUGUUCAAUGUAAUGUGACUGAACUU
rnacentral:lncRNA from 1 species